GACGGAGGAGGCAAGCGUUAUCCGGAUUCACUGGGUUUAAAGGGUGCGUAGGUGGGCAGGUAAGUCCGUGGUGAAAUCCUAUAGCUUAACUAUAGAACUGCCAUGGAUACUAUUUGUCUUGAAUGUCGUAGAGGUAAGCGGAAUAUGUCAUGUAGCGGUGAAAUGCUUAGAUAUGACAUAGAACACCAAUUGCGAAGGCAGCUUACUAUGCGAUGAUUGACACUGAGGCACGAAAGCGUGGGUAGCAAACAGG
rnacentral:rRNA from 1 species